GGGCUGUGCUGGGGGAGUGACCCCCGGCGAGGGAGUGACCGAGCCCCGGCGGGGGACUGACAGAGCCCCGGUGAAGGCGUGGCCCCGGGCGUGUGGGAUAAAGUCUCAAUGUGUGUAUCAAAUCAAAGGCUGGCUUUACUUUUAGAUGAUGGAUACAGAUCUAUGUUAUGGCUACUGGACAGGAGAUAGAAAAGAGGAGGCCUCCAGUAAGGCACUCCCAGAAGCCAGAGGCAGAGCAGCGAUUGUCCUGGAGCCGCCAGUUCCCUAACCAAGGUUCCAAGAAUGAUGUGGCAGUACGAGAGGAGAAGACUUUGGGUGUGGUGCUGGACAAAAACCUCCAGCAGCAAAGGCAGAUGUUCCCAUCUGCAGGGCACUUAGAGCCCUCAGCAAUGGAGAAGAAGGAUGAGGAUGAAUUCCACACGUCGGAUACUCCUGGCAGGAGACAUGACCGUACCUGGUACCCCUGUGAGAGCUGCAGGACUGGAGACGGAGGAAGCCCUUUGGACAGGACUCGCUGCUCCCUCCGAGCCACGGCUCUCAGC